rnacentral:rRNA from 1 species
UGAUCCUGGCUCAGGACGAACGCUGGCGGGCGUGCCUAAUACAUGCAAGUCGAGCGCGGGAAGCGAGUGGAUCCCUUCGGGGUGAAGCUCGUGGAACGAGCGGCGGACGGGUGAGUAACACGUGGGCAACCUGCCUGUAAGAUCGGAAUAACCCCGGGAAACCGGGGCUAAUGCCGGGUAAUACUUUCUUUCGCAUGAAGGAAAGUUGAAAGAUGGCUUCUUGCUAUCACUUACAGAUGGGCCCGCGGCGCAUUAGCUAGUUGGUGAGGUAACGGCUCACCAAGGCGACGAUGCGUAGCCGACCUGAGAGGGUGAUCGGCCACACUGGGACUGAGACACGGCCCAGACUCCUACGGGAGGCAGCAGUAGGGAAUCUUCCGCAAUGGACGAAAGUCUGACGGAGCAACGCCGCGUGAACGAUGAAGGUCUUCGGAUCGUAAAGUCUGUUGUUAGGGAAGGACGAAGUACCGUGCGAAUAGAGCGGUACUUGACG